rnacentral:rRNA from 1 species
CCCCUAGUAACUGCGAGUGAAGCGGGAAAAGCUCAAAUUUAAAAUCUGGCAGCCUUCGGUUGUCCGAGUUGUAAUCUAGAGAAGUGUUAUCCGCGCUGGACCGUGUACAAGUCUCCUGGAAUGGAGCGUCAUAGAGGGUGAGAAUCCCGUCUUUGACACGGACUGCCAGGGCUUUGUGAUGCGCUCUCAAAGAGUCGAGUUGUUUGGGAAUGCAGCUCAAAAUGGGUGGUAAAUUCCAUCUAAAGCUAAAUAUUGGCGAGAGACCGAUAGCGAACAAGUACCGUGAGGGAAAGAUGAAAAGAACUUUGGAAAGAGAGUUAAACAGUACGUGAAAUUGCUGAAAGGGAAACGCUUGAAGUCAGUCGCGUUGUCUGGGAAUCAACCUUGCUUUUGCUGGGCUUACUUUCCAGAUAAUGGGUCAGCAUCAAUUUUGAUCGUUGGAUAAAGUCGGGAGGAAUGUGGCAUCUUCGGGUGUGUUAUAGCCUCUUGUCGCAUACAACGGUUGGGAUUGAGGAACUCAGCAGGGAAAAAA